rnacentral:misc_RNA from 1 species
AUCGAGAUCGAACCAUUGUGCGAAGUUGUCAGUGUCAAACGGACGCUACAGACGAAUAUAUAUUUUGAGCCGAAAUUUAAAAGUAUGGAUUAAAAGACUUCGUAUGUGUUAAGAAGUCUUAUGAAGUGCAGUAAAACCCAUGCCCACAAAGUGUAUCAGAAAAGCUGUUGCUCGUUCUUUUUGGGACUAACAAUAACGGAAUUCAUACCGGAUUAAUAUCGCGAUCUGUGUAUUGGAGAUUAAGUGAAAAAAAUCAAGUCUCUUUAUUCAUAUCGACGACGUUUGUAAACGGGAAUAGGUUAACAGGGUCUGAAAUAUUCUGAAAUAGUUAAGAUUCACAUGGAUAUAACUUUUCUACUCCGUUGUCACUGCUGAAACCGUUGUUCUGUGACGACUUACAUUACGACAAAAUGGAUGAACGUUACCGACACAUAAUGAAGCUUCACCGGCCAUUCCUGGCCAAAAACAUCGUCUGGACUGAGAACCUGGUGAAGGCUUUGAAAGACGAUGGAUUGCUGCCGGAUUCUGUAUUCAGAGCUACACAGGUAAAAUUCAUCGGUUUUUAUUAAGGUCCGGGGGGGUUAAAUCAAAGCAAACUAUCUCUCUUCCUUAAAUCAGAGCAACGCAGUAAUAAACUUUGAAGCCAACUUUUUGAACAGUUUAAGCAAAAAUAUCUUUAUAAUCAUUUAUCAAAUUCGACAAAUGAUAACUGCACCAAACAUCUUGGUAACACAAAAACGCUUUUAUUGGACACCGAAAGAUCCGGUGUUUUAAUCCCCUACCUAGUGUUCCUUAUGCAGACC